rnacentral:rRNA from 1 species
UACAGAGGUCCCAAGCGUUGUUCGGAUUCACUGGGCGUAAAGGGUGCGUAGGUGGUUGGGAAAGUUUGAUGUGAAAGCUCGGAGCUUAACUCCGAAAUGGCAUUGAAUACUUCUUAACUUGAGGGUCGGAGGGGAGACUGGAAUUCUCGGUGUAGCAGUGAAAUGCGUAGAUAUCGAGAGGAACACCAGUGGCGAAGGCGAGUCUCUGGACGACUCCUGACACUGAGGCACGAAAGCUAAGGGGAGCAA